GACGAACGCUGGCGGCGUGCUUAACACAUGCAAGUCGAACGGAAAGGCCCUGCUUUUGUGGGGUGCUCGAGUGGCGAACGGGUGAGUAACACGUGAGUAACCUGCCCUUGACUUUGGGAUAACUUCAGGAAACUGGGGCUAAUACCGGAUAGGAGCUCCUGCUGCAUGGUGGGGGUUGGAAAGUUUCGGCGGUUGGGGAUGGACUCGCGGCUUAUCAGCUUGUUGGUGGGGUAGUGGCUUACCAAGGCCUUGACGGGUAGCCGGCCUGAGAGGGUGACCGGCCACAUUGGGACUGAGAUACGGCCCAGACUCCUACGGGAGGCAGCAGUGGGGAAUAUUGCACAAUGGGCGGAAGCCUGAUGCAGCAACGCCGCGUGCGGGAUGACGGCCUUCGGGUUGUAAACCGCUUUCGCCUGUGACGAAGCGUGAGUGACGGUAAUGGGUAAAGAAGCACCGGCUAACUACGUGCCAGCAGCCGCGGUGAUACGUAGGGUGCGAGCGUUGUCCGGAUUUAUUGGGCGUAAAGGGCUCGUAGGUGGUUGAUCGCGUCGGAAGUGUAAUCUUGGGGCUUAACCCUGAGCGUGCUUUCGAUACGGGUUGACUUGAGGAAGGUAGGGGAGAAUGGAAUUCCUGGUGGAGCGGUGGAAUGCGCAGAUAUCAGGAGGAACACCAGUGGCGAAGGCGGUUCUCUGGGCCUUUCCUGACGCUGAGGAGCGAAAGCGUGGGGAGCGAACAGGCUUAGAUACCCUGGUAGUCCACGCUGUAAACGGUGGGUACUAGGUGUGGGGUCCAUUCCACGGGUUCCGUGCCGUAGCUAACGCUUUAAGUACCCCGCCUGGGGAGUACGGCCGCAAGGCUAAAACUCAAAGGAAUUGACGGGGCCCCGCACAAGCGGCGGAGCAUGCGGAUUAAUUCGAUGCAACGCGUAGAACCUUACCUGGGUUUGACAUGGAUCGGGAGUGCUCAGAGAUGGGUGUGCCUCUUUUGGGGUCGGUUCACAGGUGGUGCAUGGCUGUCGUCAGCUCGUGUCGUGAGAUGUUGGGUUAAGUCCCGCAACGAGCGCAACCCUUGUUCACUGUUGCCAGCACGUUAUGGUGGGGACUCAGUGGAGACCGCCGGGGUCAACUCGGAGGAAGGUGGGGAUGACGUCAAGUCAUCAUGCCCCUUAUGUCCAGGGCUUCACGCAUGCUACAAUGGCUGGUACAGAGAGUGGCGAGCCUGUGAGGGUGAGCGAAUCUCGGAAAGUCGGUCUCAGUUCGGAUUGGGGUCUGCAACUCGACCUCAUGAAGUCGGAGUCGCUAGUAAUCGCAGAUCAGCAACGCUGCGGUGAAUACGUUCCCGGGGCU
rnacentral:rRNA from 1 species